AAUAAGUGUUGUUUUACACUAUUCAUGUCCAACGUUUGAUUAUUCGUCUUAUUUAAAUUUUUUUAUGAUUAGUAUUUUUAUGGUUAUUAGAUGAUAAAACAUGAAUAGUACUUUAUGUGUGACUAACUUUUUCAUAUUUUUUAAAAAUGGACGGAUGGUUAAAUAUUGGACACAGAUACCCUUUUUCAUAUUUUUUAAAAAUGGACGGAUGGUUAAAUAUUGGACACAGAUACCCAUCACUGUAUUUAUU
rnacentral:pre_miRNA from 1 species